GGGUUGUGAGGUUAAGCGACUAAGCGUACACGGUGGAUGCCCUGGCAGUCAGAGGCGAUGAAGGACGUGCUAAUCUGCGAUAAGCGUCGGUAAGGUGAUAUGAACCGUUAUAACCGGCGAUUUCCGAAUGGGGAAACCCAGUGUGAUUCGUCACACUAUCAUUAACUGAAUCCAUAGGUUAAUGAGGCGAACCGGGGGAACUGAAACAUCUAAGUACCCCGAGGAAAAGAAAUCAACCGAGAUUCCCCCAGUAGCGGCGAGCGAACGGGGAGCAGCCCAGAGCCUGAAUCAGUGUGUGUGUUAGUGGAAGCGUCUGGAAAGGCGUGCGAUACAGGGUGACAGCCCCGUACACAAAAAUGCACAUACUGUGAGCUCGAUGAGUAGGGCGGGACACGUGGUAUCCUGUCUGAAUAUGGGGGGACCAUCCUCCAAGGCUAAAUACUCCUGACUGACCGAUAGUGAACCAGUACCGUGAGGGAAAGGCGAAAAGAACCCCGGCGAGGGGAGUGAAAAAGAACCUGAAACCGUGUACGUACAAGCAGUGGGAGCACGCUUAGGCGUGUGACUGCGUACCUUUUGUAUAAUGGGUCAGCGACUUAUAUUCUGUAGCAAGGUUAACCGAAUAGGGGAGCCGAAGGGAAACCGAGUCUUAACUGGGCGUUAAGUUGCAGGGUAUAGACCCGAAACCCGGUGAUCUAGCCAUGGGCAGGUUGAAGGUUGGGUAACACUAACUGGAGGACCGAACCGACUAAUGUUGAAAAAUUAGCGGAUGACUUGUGGCUGGGGGUGAAAGGCCAAUCAAACCGGGAGAUAGCUGGUUCUCCCCGAAAGCUAUUUAGGUAGCGCCUCGUGAAUUCAUCUCCGGGGGUAGAGCACUGUUUCGGCAAGGGGGUCAUCCCGACUUACCAACCCGAUGCAAACUGCGAAUACCGGAGAAUGUUAUUACGGGAGACACACGGCGGGUGCUAACGUCCGUCGUGAAGAGGGAAACAACCCAGACCGCCAGCUAAGGUCCCAAAGUCAUGGUUAAGUGGGAAACGAUGUGGGAAGGCCCAGACAGCCAGGAUGUUGGCUUAGAAGCAGCCAUCAUUUAAAGAAAGCGUAAUAGCUCACUGGUCGAGUCGGCCUGCGCGGAAGAUGUAACGGGGCUAAACCAUGCACCGAAGCUGCGGCAGCGACGCUUAUGCGUUGUUGGGUAGGGGAGCGUUCUGUAAGCCUGUGAAGGUGUGCUGUGAGGUAUGCUGGAGGUAUCAGAAGUGCGAAUGCUGACAUAAGUAACGAUAAAGCGGGUGAAAAGCCCGCUCGCCGGAAGACCAAGGGUUCCU
rnacentral:rRNA from 1 species